rnacentral:rRNA from 1 species
ACGAACGCUGGCGGCGAUGCCUAAUACAUGCAAGUCGAACGGUCUUUCUAUGGAAGCUUGCUUCCACUGAGAAGAUAGUGGCGAACGGGUGAGUAACACGUGGGUAACCUGCCCAUAAGAGGGGGAUAACACCCGGAAACGGGUGCUAAUACCGCAUAGUUUUCUUGAUCGCAUGAUUGAGAAAGGAAAGACGGCCUUUGUGCUGUCGCUUAUGGAUGGACCCGCGGCGUAUUAGUUAGUUGGUGAGGUAAUGGCUCACCAAGACGAUGAUACGUAGCCGACCUGAGAGGGUGAUCGGCCACAUUGGGACUGAGACACGGCCCAAACUCCUACGGGAGGCAGCAGUAGGGAAUCUUCCGCAAUGGACGAAAGUCUGACGGAGCAACGCCGCGUGAGUGAAGAAAAGGGUUUUCGGAUCGUAAAACUCUGUUGUCAGAGAAGAACAAGUUGGAGAGUAACUGCUCCAGCCUUGACGGUAUCUGACCAGAAAGCCACGGCUAACUACGUGCCAGCCGCCGC